UACAGAGGGGACUAGCGUUGUUCGGAAUUACUGGGCGUAAAGCGCACGUAGGCGGAUUUGUUAGUCAGGGGUGAAAUCCCGAGGCUCAACCUCGGAACUGCCUUUGAUACUGCAAAUCUCGAGUCCGGAAGAGGUGAGUGGAAUUCCUAGUGUAGAGGUGAAAUUCGUAGAUAUUAGGAAGAACACCAGUGGCGAAGGCGGCUCACUGGUCCGGUACUGACGCUGAGGUGCGAAAGCGUGGGGAGCAAACAGG
rnacentral:rRNA from 1 species